UUUAUGGCUUAAAGAUGAGUAUGCGUCCUAUUAGUUAGUUGGUAAGGUAACGGCUUACCAAGACCGCGAUAGGUAGGGGUCCUGAGAGGGAGAUCCCCCACACUGGUACUGAGACACGGACCAGACUCCUACGGGAGGCAGCAGUGAGGAAUAUUGGACAAUGGAGGCAACUCUGAUCCAGCCAUGCCGCGUGCAGGAAGACGGCCCUAUGGGUUGUAAACUGCUUUUAUACGGGAAGAACCACAUCUACGUGUAGAUGCUUGACGGUACCGUAUGAAUAAGGACCGGCUAACUCCGUGCCAGCAGCCGCGGUAAUACGGAGGGUCCAAGCGUUAUCCGGAAUCAUUGGGUUUAAAGGGUCCGUAGGCGGGAUAAUAAGUCAGUGGUGAAAGUCUGCAGCUCAACUGUAGAAUUGCCAUUGAUACUGUUGUUCUUGAAUUAUUAUGAAGUGGUUGGAAUGAGUAGUGUAGCGGUGAAAUGCAUAGAUAUUACUCAGAACACCUAUUGCGAAGGCAGAUCACUAAUAAUAUAUUGACGCUGAGGGACGAAAGCGUAGGUAGCGAACAGGAUUAGAUACCCUGGUAGUCUACGCCGUAAACGAUGGUUA
rnacentral:rRNA from 1 species